AGGUUUAAGAACAAAAUCUAUUUUUCGGUUGUAUAACGGAAAUUGACAGUGAAUAUCAUUUUAUUUGAGUCUUGUAGCAGGUCUGAGCUGAGCUCUGAGAAGAUCUGAGCUGGGAAUCGAAGAUGUUUCCCGCUGAGGCUGUGCCAACCUGGUCGACUUAGAUGGUUUCUAAAAGAAAAUUCAGAAUAUAUAUUUUAAUUGAUCUUUAAGAAAAUUUUAAGUUUGAAUAAAAACGAACCUGUUGAUUUAA